UUACUUGCUAGCAGAUUUGCAAAUUUUUGUCUGCACAUAACAAUGGUGGUUAGGGUUUUCAAUUUUGCAACUUAUGUUUAAUUUUUUUUUAUUUUUUUUGCCAUGUUAGUUCAAUUGAUGGGUUCAGGGACUCUGAUAUUGAAGCCUCACAUAAGUCAACAAUGUCCUAAAGGAUGGUUGUGAAAGCACAACACUCGACUCAAGGAAGGGAAUGCACCAUCAUACAUGUUGGAAUACCCUGGAUUGGACCUGAGCAUAGCUUUCUGAAAGAUCGAGGUUGUGCCGAAUAGUAUAUCAUCACUGAUGAAGAAGCAUUGGAAGGUACGGGGGAUGCUAUUUGCUAAAGAUGUCCAUAAACAGCUGUCUCAAAUAAUGCAGAAGAUUGCAAUAG